rnacentral:rRNA from 1 species
GACGAACGCUGGCGGCGUGCCUAAUACGUGCAAGUAGAACGCUGAAGGAGGAGCUUGCUUCUCCGGAUGAGUUGCGAACGGGUGAGUAACGCGUAGGUAACCUGCCUGGUAGCGGGGGAUAACUAUUGGAAACGAUAGCUAAUACCGCAUAACAGUAGAUGUUGCAUGACAUUUGCUUAAAAGGUGCAAUUGCAUCACUACCAGAUGGACCUGCGUUGUAUUAGCUAGUUGGUGAGGUAACGGCUCACCAAGGCGACGAUACAUAGCCGACCUGAGAGGGUGAUCGGCCACACUGGGACUGAGACACGGCCCAGACUCCUACGGGAGGCAGCAGUAGGGAAUCUUCGGCAAUGGACGGAAGUCUGACCGAGCAACGCCGCGGGAGUGAAGAAGGUUUUCGGAUCGUAAAGCUCUGUUGUAAGAGAAGAACGAGUGUGAGAGUGGAAAGUUCACACUGUGACGGUAUCUUACCAGAAAGGGACGGCUAACUACGUG